ACCUGGGUCGCUCAGUCGGUCGAGCGUCUGACUUCGGCUCAGGUCCUGAUCUCGCGGUUCGUGAGUUCGAGCCCUGCCCUGGGCU
rnacentral:tRNA from 1 species